AACCUGGUUAGGUGGUCUGCCUUACGGUACGUACUGCUCGGCCGGGUUCUACCUCUUGGUGAGCCGGCAUGUCCUUCACUGGGUGUGUCGGGGAACCAGGACUUUUACUUUGAAAAAAUUAGAGUGUUUAAAGCAGGCAUUCGCUUGAAUACAUUAGCAUGGAAUAAUAAAAUAGGACGU
rnacentral:rRNA from 1 species